UCCACCAAACACAAUGCAUAAGAGUUGUAAAUCAACAGUGAGGUAACUGCAUUCCAUGUCAACCAUCUGCAGUGCUGCUUUCUUACUUCCUUUACGCAUUUUAUCCAGCGACUCUAUCGCUGCGUUUGUCACCUCAGGUUAGUCUAGAGACUUAGAGAGAUGGAUACAUCACAAAAUAUGCAAUUACUCAAGCCAAAAUGGAGAUUCAUAUUUCCACUAAACAACAGAACACAAAGCAGUUGUAAUUACACGCUCUGCAACCACUAUUACCACAUUCAUUCAUGAGGUUAUCUUAUGGUAUAGA